rnacentral:rRNA from 1 species
UUGUCUACGGGAGGCAGCAGUGGGGAAUAUUGCGCAAUGGGCGAAAGCCUGACGCAGCGACGCCGCGUGAGGGAUGAAGGUCUUCGGACCGUAAACCUCUGUCAGCAGGGAAGAACGGUCACUGUGCUAAUCAGCAGUGAAUUGACGGUACCUGCAAAGGAAGCACCGGCUAACUCCGUGCCAGCAGCCGCGGUAAUACGGAGGGUGCGAGCGUUAAUCGGAAUUACUGGGCGUAAAGCGCUCGUAGGCGGUAUGUCAAGUCAAGGGUGAAAUCCCCCCGUCCAACGUGGGAACGGGCUUUGAAA